CACGUAGGGCGCAAGCGUUGUCCGGAAUUAUUGGGCGUAAAGAGCUCGUAGGCGGUCUGUUGCGUCCGCUGUGAAAACUCGGGGCUUAACCCCGAGCCUGCAGUGGAUACGGGCAGACUAGAGGUAGGUAGGGGAGAAUGGAAUUCCCGGUGUAGCGGUGAAAUGCGCAGAUAUCGGGAGGAACACCGGUGGCGAAGGCGGUCCUCUGGGCCUUACCUGACGCUGAGGAGCGAAAGCGUGGGGAGCGAACAGG
rnacentral:rRNA from 1 species